rnacentral:lncRNA from 1 species
CUCUUUGACCAGGCUAGAGCGCCAGCGCUCCUCUGACCCGGCACACUUUGGCAAAGUUGCAGUGGCCUGUUUGCUUAGGCACUGAAGUGGAUGACCCAAGUUAGGAUGACAACUUGCAGAGAACGCGGAUGAGACCUUCAGUUUGUGCCCACACUCAUUUGCAGCAACCCUAACAGAGAUUGCGAAGAUUUUCAAAGUGGGGCACCUCGAUUUCUCGAAUCUGUGGUGUGGCGAAUAUCCGUGUUCCUCCUGCUUAACUAGCCUGUUUGAAGGCACAGUUCAUUCUCGAGCAAUUCGUCACCUCCUGGGGGUCUUCUCUUCCCGUCUACAGGAGAGUGUGACUUCAGAAAGAACUUCGGAUUGGCCAAGGCCAUUAAAGCUGGUGAGCGACUUGGAAGUCAUUUAGAAAGGAACAGACCUUCAACCUCAAGCCUUUGCGGGCACUGGGAAAGUGUCUUCCCAAUCAAUCUGGCUUGCAGGCGGCAGGACCAACUCUGACCUGGCUUAUCUUGUACCCAUCCUAAAUACACCAAACUCAAGAGGUAGCCAGGGCCGCCUCAACACCGAGGCAGGUCUGAUUCUAUUUAUUCUAAAGACAGAGUUGGAGAUGGGCUACCAUUGGUGUUGAUUGAGAUGACAAGCAGUCACCUGAGCCCAUACAGCUGGGUUCACAGAUGUGGCUAGUCUUGCUAGCCAGCUCGCACUGUGGACAUUCUAGGGAACUGACUGCAGUCCUCAUGCUUGGAGUCAAACACUUUAACCACUGCACACGUUUAUGUAAUAGGAUUGACAUAUGAGAAUCAGAGAAAUGAAUGAAAGAUUAGAGUGGGAGAAAGUGCUUGCUGCCAAGCUUGAUGACCUAAAUUGAAUACCUGGAACCUACACGACAGAAAGAGAGAGCUGACUGCUGAAAGAUGUCCUCAGAUCUUCACAUGUGCACAGUGGCACCUAUCCAACCAUGCACAUAGUAUAUUAAAAAUUAUUUUUUAAAAAA